rfam:Triticum urartu cultivar G1812 contig711590, whole genome shotgun sequence.
GAUAUAUUACCUCCGUCCCAAAUUAGUUGUCUUAGAUUUGUCUAGAUACGGAUGUACUUAACACUAAAACGUGUCUAGAUACAUCCGUGUCUAGACAAAUCCAAGACAACUAAUUCGGGACGGAGGAAGUAUGAU